rnacentral:rRNA from 1 species
UCAAGUAAUUAAGUGCAUGUGGUGGAUGCCUUGGCAGUCAGAGGCGAUGAAAGACGUGAUAGCCUGCGAAAAGCUCCGGGGAGGCGGCAAAUAUCCUUUGAUCCGGAGAUGUCUGAAUGGGGGAACCCACCUACUUUAAGGUAGGUAUUGCAACAUGAAUACAUAGUGUUGCAAGGCGAACGAGGGGAAGUGAAACAUCUCAGUACCCUUAGGAAAAGAAAUCAAUUGAGAUUCCCUCAGUAGCGGCGAGCGAACGGGGAUCAGCCCAUUAAGUUAUGUGUGUUUUAGUGGAACGCUCUGGGAAGUGCGAACGUAGAGGGUGAUAUUCCCGUACACGAAAGGGCACACAUAAUGAUGACGAGUAGGGCGAGGCACGUGAAACCUUGUCUGAAUAUGGGGGGACCAUCCUCCAAGGCUAAAUACUCCUGACUGACCGAUAGUGAACCAGUACCGUGAGGGAAAGGCGAAAAGAACCCCUGUGAGGGGAGUGAAAUAGAUCCUGAAACCGCAUGCAUACAAGCAGUGGGAGCACCUUCGUGGUGUGACUGCGUACCUUUUGUAUAAUGGGUCAGCGACUUAUAUUCAGUAGCGAGGUUAACCGUAUAGGGGAGCCGUAGAGAAAUCGAGUCUUAAUAGGGCGUUUAGUUGCUGGGUAUAGACCCGAAACCAGGCGAUCUAUCCAUGAGCAGGUUGAAGGUUGGGUAACACUAACUGGAGGACCGAACCCACUGUCGUUGAAAAGCCAGGGGAUGACUUGUGGAUAGGGGUGAAAGGCUAAUCAAGCCUGGUGAUAGCUGGUUCUCCCCGAAAGCUAUUUAGGUAGCGCCUCGGACGAAUACCAUAGGGGGUAGAGCACUGUUUCGGCUAGGGGGUCAUCCCGACUUACCAAACCGAUGCAAACUCCGAAUACCUAUGAGUACUAUCCGGGAGACAGACUGCGGGUGCUAACGUCCGUAGUCAAGAGGAAAACAAUCCAGACCGCCAGCUAAGGCCCCAAAAUCAUAGUUAAGUGGGAAACGAUGUGGGAAGGCAUAGACAGCUAGGAGGUUGGCUUAGAAGCAGCCACCCUUUAAAGAAAGCGUAAUAGCUCACUAGUCGAGUCGGCCUGCGCGGAAGAUGUAACGGGGCUAAAACUAUGUGCCGAAGCUGCGGAUGUAUACUUUGUAUACGUGGUAGGGGAGCGUUCUGUAAGCCGAUGAAGGUGUGUUGAGAAGCAUGCUGGAGGUAUCAGAAGUGCGAAUGCUGACGUGAGUAACGACAAAACGGGUGAAAAACCCGUUCGCCGAAAGACCAAGGGUUCCAGUCCAACGUUAAUCGGGGCUGGGUGAGUCGACCCCUAAGGCGAGGCCGAAAGGCGUAGUCGAUGGGAAAAUGGUUAAUAUUCCAUUACUUCUGUGUAAUGCGAUGAGAGGACGGAGAAGGCUAAAUCAGCCUGGCGUUGGUUGUCCAGGUGAAAGGAUGUAGGCAUGUAUCUUAGGCAAAUCCGGGGUACUCUAUGCUGAGAUCUGAUAGCAAGCUGUACUUGUACAGCGAAGUGGUUGAUGCCAUGCUUCCAGGAAAAGUCUCUAAGCUUCAGUUACACAGGAAUCGUACCCGAAACCGACACAGGUGGUCAGGUCGAGUAGACCAAGGCGCUUGAGAGAACUCUGCUGAAGGAACUAGGCAAAAUGGUACCGUAACUUCGGGAGAAGGUACGCUGUUGUUGGUGAUGGAACUCGCUUCCUGAGCUGACGACAGCCGCAGAAACCAGGCCGCUGCAACUGUUUAUUAAAAACAUAGCACUCUGCAAACACGAAAGUGGACGUAUAGGGUGUGAUGCCUGCCCGGUGCUGGAAGGUUAAUUGAUGGGGUUAGCGUAAGCGAAGCUCUUGAUCGAAGCCCCAGUAAACGGCGGCCGUAACUAUAACGGUCCUAAGGUAGCGAAAUUCCUUGUCGGGUAAGUUCCGACCUGCACGAAUGGCAUAAUGAUGGCGGCGCUGUCUCCAGCAGAGGCUCAGUGAAAUCGAAAUCGCUGUGAAGAUGCAGUGUACCCGCGGCUAGACGGAAAGACCC